rnacentral:rRNA from 1 species
AGCCCAGAGCCUGAAUCAGUGUGUGUGUUAGUGGAAGCGUCUGGAAAGGCGCGCGAUACAGGGUGACAGCCCCGUACACAAAAAUGCACAUACUGUGAGCUCGAUGAGUAGGGCGGGACACGUGGUAUCCUGUCUGAAUAUGGGGGGACCAUCCUCCAAGGCUAAAUACUCCUGACUGACCGAUAGUGAACCAGUACCGUGAGGGAAAGGCGAAAAGAACCCCGGCGAGGGGAGUGAAAAAGAACCUGAAACCGUGUACGUACAAGCAGUGGGAGCCUCUUUAUGGGGUGACUGCGUACCUUUUGUAUAAUGGGUCAGCGACUUAUAUUCUGUAGCAAGGUUAACCGAAUAGGGGAGCCGAAGGGAAACCGAGUCUUAACUGGGCGUUAAGUUGCAGGGUAUAGACCCGAAACCCGGUGAUCUAGCCAUGGGCAGGUUGAAGGUUGGGUAACACUAACUGGAGGACCGAACCGACUAAUGUUGAAAAAUUAGCGGAUGACUUGUGGCUGGGGGUGAAAGGCCAAUCAAACCGGGAGAUAGCUGGUUCUCCCCGAAAGCUAUUUAGGUAGCGCCUCGUGAAUUCAUCUCCGGGGGUAGAGCACUGUUUCGGCAAGGGGGUCAUCCCGACUUACCAACCCGAUGCAAACUGCGAAUACCGGAGAAUGUUAUCACGGGAGACACACGGCGGGUGCUAACGUCCGUCGUGAAGAGGGAAACAACCCAGACCGCCAGCUAAGGUCCCAAAGUCAUGGUUAAGUGGGAAACGAUGUGGGAAGGCCCAGACAGCCAGGAUGUUGGCUUAGAAGCAGCCAUCAUUUAAAGAAAGCGUAAUAGCUCACUGGUCGAGUCGGCCUGCGCGGAAGAUGUAACGGGGCUAAACCAUGCACCGAAGCUGCGGCAGCGACACUAUGUGUUGUUGGGUAGGGGAGCGUUCUGUAAGCCUGUGAAGGUGUACUGUGAGGUAUGCUGGAGGUAUCAGAAGUGCGAAUGCUGACAUAAGUAACGAUAAAGCGGGUGAAAAGCCCGCUCGCCGGAAGACCAAGGGUUCCUGUCCAACGUUAAUCGGGGCAGGGUGAGUCGACCCCUAAGGCGAGGCCGAAAGGCGUAGUCGAUGGGAAACAGGUUAAUAUUCCUGUACUUGGUGUUACUGCGAAGGGGGGACGGAGAAGGCUAUGUUGGCCGGGCGACGGUUGUCCCGGUUUAAGCGUGUAGGCUGGUUUUCCAGGCAAAUCCGGAAAAUCAAGGCUGAGGCGUGAUGACGAGGCACUACGGUGCUGAAGCAACAAAUGCCCUGCUUCCAGGAAAAGCCUCUAAGCAUCAGGUAACAUCAAAUCGUACCCCAAACCGACACAGGUGGUCAGGUAGAGAAUACCAAGGCGCUUGAGAGAACUCGGGUGAAGGAACUAGGCAAAAUGGUGCCGUAACUUCGGGAGAAGGCACGCUGAUAUGUAGGUGAAGCGACUUGCUCGUGGAGCUGAAAUCAGUCGAAGAUACCAGCUGGCUGCAACUGUUUAUUAAAAACACAGCACUGUGCAAACACGAAAGUGGACGUAUACGGUGUGACGCCUGCCCGGUGCCGGAAGGUUAAUUGAUGGGGUUAGCGGUAACGCGAAGCUCUUGAUCGAAGCCCCGGUAAACGGCGGCCGUAACUAUAACGGUCCUAAGGUAGCGAAAUUCCUUGUCGGGUAAGUUCCGACCUGCACGAAUGGCGUAAUGAUGGCCAGGCUGUCUCCACCCGAGACUCAGUGAAAUUGAACUCGCUGUGAAGAUGCAGUGUACCCGCGGCAAGACGGAAAGACCCCGUGAACCUUUACUAUAGCUUGACACUGAACAUUGAGCCUUGAUGUGUAGGAUAGGUGGGAGGCUUUGAAGUGUGGACGCCAGUCUGCAUGGAGCCGGCCUUGAAAUACCACCCUUUAAUGUUUGAUGUUCUAACGUUGGCCCCUGACCGGGGUUGCGGACAGUGUCUGGUGGGUAGUUUGACUGGGGCGGUCUCCUCCUAAAGAGUAACGGAGGAGCACGAAGGUUGGCUAAUCCUGGUCGGACAUCAGGAGGUUAGUGCAAUGGCAUAAGCCAGCUUGACUGCGAGCGUGACGGCGCGAGCAGGUGCGAAAGCAGGUCAUAGUGAUCCGGUGGUUCUGAAUGGAAGGGCCAUCGCUCAACGGAUAAAAGGUACUCCGGGGAUAACAGGCUGAUACCGCCCAAGAGUUCAUAUCGACGGCGGUGUUUGGCACCUCGAUGUCGGCUCAUCACAUCCUGGGGCUGAAGUAGGUCCCAAGGGUAUGGCUGUUCGCCAUUUAAAGUGGUACGCGAGCUGGGUUUAGAACGUCGUGAGACAGUUCGGUCCCUAUCUGCCGUGGGCGCUGGAGAACUGAGGGGGGCUGCUCCUAGUACGAGAGGACCGGAGUGGACGCAUCACUGGUGUUCGGGUUGUCAUGCCAAUGGCACUGCCCGGUAGCUAAAUGCGGAAGAGAUAAGUGCUGAAAGCAUCUAAGCACGAAACUUGCCCCGAGAUGAGUUCUCCCUGACUCCUUGAGAGUCCUGAAGGAACGUUGAAGACGACGACGUUGAUAGGCCGGGUGUGUAAGCGCAGCGAUGCGUUGAGCUAACCGGUACUAAUGAACCGUGAGGCUUAACCUUACAACGCCGAAG